UUUUAGCAUUUUUAGUCUAAGGUCAUAGUUUUUCUUAGCAAGGGCUGUGUCCGUUUUAUGCAGGUCACUUCCCUAAGCAUUUUGGUUUCCCUAGAGCAUCAUCUGAAAUUUGGCAGAAGGUGAACUGGAGCUAAACUCGACAUUCAUAAUGAUUCAGCCCUUCCCACCAUAGCUAUGUUAUGUGUAGAAAAUUUGGUUGCUCCAACAUACUUAGAGAUUGUGCCUAAAACAUCAUAGUGAUCUCAGUUGUGCAGCUGAUGAGAUAAUGAUGUUACAUAGUUAGUUAGCACUUGGAUGGUCACGUUUUAUUAUGUUUAUAUGAAACGGUCUUCAUAAUAGCACUUGGAUGGUCACAUUUUGUUACGUUCGGUUUUCAUACUAUUCCUUGGGCAGUUAGACAAGAUGUUUUGACAUAGGACUCUAAAUUGUAUAAUUUAAUAGAAGUUUUGGUUGUCUAAAUUGUUAAUUUUAAGUCUGUUUACAGUUUGUAUUUAAUUGAUAAUGAUUGCAGAUUAACUGUUUCAGGUUUCUGCUGACAUGUUUCUACACACGCAAUGCCUCGCACCACUUUGUGAUAAACUUCAUCUCUCUGGUAGUGGUAGUCCUGCCUAAGCUGCCACAGUUCCACAAGGUUCGGCCUGUUUGGUAUAAACAAGUACUGAGCACUGCUGCCACCACGACAGCACCGUACCCCAGAUACCUGACUAGAGGCGUGCCAAAGCGACAACGAGGACUGAGAACUCUAAACUCAAGUGGUGAUCUUGUGAUGAUUUGUAUAUAAGAGCAAUAAAAUUGGCUAGCAUUU